GAGAGUUUGAUCCUGGCUCAGGACGAACGCUGGCGGCGUGCCUAAUACAUGCAAGUCGAGCGGACAGAUGGGAGCUUGCUCCCUGAUGUUAGCGGCGGACGGGUGAGUAACACGUGGGUAACCUGCCUGUAAGACUGGGAUAACUCCGGGAAACCGGGGCUAAUACCGGAUGGUUGUCUGAACCGCAUGGUUCAGACAUAAAAGGUGGCUUCGGCUACCACUUACAGAUGGACCCGCGGCGCAUUAGCUAGUUGGUGAGGUAACGGCUCACCAAGGCGACGAUGCGUAGCCGACCUGAGAGGGUGAUCGGCCACACUGGGACUGAGACACGGCCCAGACUCCUACGGGAGGCAGCAG
rnacentral:rRNA from 1 species